AGAACUAUACAUGGUAACAGCUAAUGUAUAGCUCCUAACUACUAGCAUCUAUACAUGGUAAGAAUAACUAUUGAGUAUAUACGGUAAGAAUAACUAUUAGCAUCUAUACAUGGUAAGAAGAAUAUCUAAUAUCUAAGUUAACAACAACUAGUACUGAGAAGUAAGA